CAGCUACUACCAGCAACGAGGAUUUUUACACACAGAUGCCCAUCAAAGAAUUUGUCGUGGUAGAGUUUGUGAGGGAGAAGGCUGUGGAGGUGGUCCACUUGACAUGGCUGGAGAAGGUGGAUGGUGCAAGCACUUCAACAUGCUAGACAGGCAGAGGAGAGUCUGACGAAGAACUUGGGGAGAGAAGGAAGAAGAGACCGUCUCGAUUUGAGGAUGUUGGGGACUUUGAU